rnacentral:lncRNA from 1 species
AAAAAAAAAAAAAAAGAUUACAGGUAGCUAUUUCCAAAAUGGCCAACAAUUUGAGCCAUUUGUUCAAUUCUCACUUAAAUUUGAGCACUUGGGAAACUAUAUAUAUACUUAAAUUGGGCCUGAAGUCAGAUAAGGCUCGCAGACAUAUGGAGACAAGCCCAAAGCUAACAUCACUUCCAGAUUGUGCCAAUUGGCCUACUUUUAUGCUUUUCAAAUUAAUCUUUUAGUUGAAGAUUCAACUUCAGAUUUGAGAAAGGAAAGAACAUGAAGAUCUAUUGGGGAAAUCAGCUAUUCAUUUAUUAUGCUUUAGGCCUUACAGUUAAGGUCACUUGGACAAUCUUUCUUCACGUGGGUAAAGAAAUUUUACUAAAAUGUUGCUUUCAUUCGUAUUAACUACACAUGUGCAUGACUGAUCUAGAGGUUAAAGUGUUCUUUGACUUUUGGUGUUUUUUUGGGCAUACUUUGUCGGAUAUCUAUACUUCAUUGUAAAAUUAAAUAUGAUUGUUUGACUCAUAUCAUCGAUACACGUUAGACUUGUUAAAGGUGUUAUUAGAAUUUUUGCUCUUCAACUUAAGAUUUUUGGUCAAUUGGUAUCAGUAGUUCAUGAGGUCAUUUGUUCAAGUUUCUAUAUAUAUUGAUUUUCACUUUUCAACUCAAACUUUUUGUUAGCAACUCAAGUACAUAUACUUCAACUUAUAGAUUGAAGGCUAGAAUGAAAAGAGAACGUGUAGAAACUUUUUUCUAUUGAGAACCAAUCUCGGUUACUUUUCUCAACUAUGAACACUAUGAACAUUGAACUAGUUGAUUUAAGUGCAAAAAAAAUAAUAAGAUAGAGAAAAUUUGAUGUUUAUUGCAUUGUGCGUAGGUGCAGGUGUACUUGUGAUUGUGAUUGUAAUACAAUCCUAACAACUUCAAAUUGAAUGGUUGUGUGUGUGAAUUAAUUUAAAGUAAAUAAAAACAAAAUGGGUUUUUGUAUUGUAACAAACCACUUAACCUCUAGUAAAAUAGCUCAACCUCAAUGAAGUAAGUUAAAAGGGUAUUGAUUAGUGAAUAGAACAACAAUAGAUGAUAGUGUUCCUUGAAAUCUUGGCUUGAUUUAAUUUUUCUCUCUUUAUGAAUUAGAUAGCCUUUGUAAUUCUUAAUUAAUUAUUCUUUUUUUGUUAAUUAAUUUUUACUUGCAAUUAGUGUUAUCUAAUCUUGAAACUAGAUGACAUGGAAAGAACAUGUUAUACUAAACAACUAGAAAAUAUAUAUAGUAAGUAUAGAACGUUGUUACAUACUUUGUAAUAGUCACAAAUCAUACAAUCUAAAUCAUUUAUAUGGAGACAUGUGAAUGAUGUAUCAUCACACAAUGAAAAAUUUAUUUAAGAUUGAAUAAUUAUAUAGUUAAGAUAACUUAGAAUAUUAAUAGUAGAUGUAUUAGUUGAAAUCGACGAAGUCUAAAUAAUAUAUUUAUAUUUAAUAAUUAAUUAAAAUUAAUAAUUGUUAUGAGUGAUUUUGGAUCAAAUGAUAUAAUCGACAUAAAAUAAUAACUGAAACAACAAGGUGGGUCUAUGAAAAAGAGUUAGUUGGCAUCAAAACCCAAAUCUACGUGGUUAUGGAGAUAUUCAACGUAUACCAAAAACCAAAGUAUCAUCUGAAAACUAAACAUCAACGUAUUCUCUUAUAUAUAUCUCUUCAAUGUGAUCAAACAUGCACCAUAUUUUACAUGUGUUAAAGAACGUGUAACAUUAGAGUCUUCUUUCAAAUAGAAAUAAAACUGUACAAGUAAAAAGGUAAAAACAAAAUGGUGCAUGUUAAUUGAAUAAUUAGAAUGAAAAUGUUGAAAUUGAAAAGAAGAAUAAUAAUGGUGUUGGUAUAAUUUGAUAUGGGUUUUGUUUGUUUAAAAGAGAAGUCGCAAAGAACGAGGAGGAACCCACUUGUGGUUGAUUGUAAAGAAAUGGUUGACAAAGGCGUGGGCAAUGAAAUGAUGUUGGUACGAAAAAGAUGAAAGAAGUAUGAAGGUGAAGGGAUGUAGUAGGAACAUGAUAAGAAUAGGAUAAAAGAUUCGGAGUGGAAGUCAGUUGGGAAACAUUGGAUAAGUGAUCAAUACACUCACAAGAACUCCUUCCUACUCAUCUUUUCUCUCUCUCUCUCUCUCUUAUUACUAUUAAUUCAUUCGUUGCUUUUCCUUACUAUUCUUAGAAAGCUUUGCCGUACGUUGCAAGGUCGUGAACAACUUAUCCUGAUAUCUCCUCGAGACUCUCAAAUAAUUUAUAUGAAAUUUUCUUGGGAUCAAACUAAAGCAAAACCAUGAAGGUGGAUGUCUAAAGUACCCAAUAUUAUAUCAUCGUAAAAAUAUCUAGAGUUUCGUUGCCCCUAAAUCAAUUUAAACAAUUAUCUUCGGUAGCAUGAGACCUUUUUGUUUGAAAUCAAAAGUAAAAUCACGAGGACGUUAAGUAAAUGUUUAAAGUAAACAAUAUUUUAUUAUUGUAGAGAUAUGUGGAACGCCAAUACUAAGCUUCCGACAACCAACGGGAGGAUGAUCAAAUUUUAAUAUAUCUUGGAAAAAAGGACAUUAUGACCAUGCUACAUAAUGUGGUCUCGUACAACAUAUCUCAUACAAUAGGGGACCUAAGAGUACUCAUCAUUUGAUAUAACUAUUUAUUUAUUUAUAUUUUAAUUUAUGAAUUACAAAUAUUAUGCCAUUUAUAUUGAAGUUUUCCAAAAAGAAAAAAGAAAAAAGAUCACAGAGAUGCAGAACCAAAAUGGGUUACUGUAACAAAAUAAAUAUCUAAGAGUUUUCAUUCUUUUUUUGUGUAUGAACAUUUUCACAAAACCUAAAUUAAACCUAACCCACUUUCUAAAGCACAAGUUGUACAACAUUUUAUUUGCAUCAUCUUCAGUAGUGAAAUUACAAAAUCAACGUUGAUCGUUGCUAUACGUUUGAGUGUAUGUUCACUCGAUUAAUAUCAAUUCUCACUUUUAGCAAAUUAGAUAAAUAUGUUCCUGCAAGCGUGCAUGAAAUUUCAACAGUCAAAGAAGAUUAGGAAAAGCUUGAUUCGUGCAAUGUAUCAAGCAAAAAACAUGUCGACGCAAUUCUACUUGAAGAAACGUUUUUCCUAUUGUAAAUAGGCAGAAGGACAAAAAUCUUAAUCUAAGUGUUCUCAAUUUUAGAGGUAGGAGUGAAGAUAGAAAUUGAAGAUAAGGCACUCCGACUUAUAUGGUCACUUCCUUCUUAUAGACAUAUGACAUGGUCAAUCUUGACGUGCGAGAAAAAACCUUUAGAUCUUGGUGAGGUUACUAGUAAACUAUUAUGAAAAAAAAGAGUACAACACUGGUAGCUAACAAAUGGAAGAAGGAAAAGUUCAUACAAAAUAUAGUUUAAUUUGCUGAAAUUAGAGACAAUAUGAACACAUGAGAAAAAACUGUCCAAAUAGAGUAGAUUUGUCAAAGGGUUCUGAGUUGGAUGUAAUGUUGUCUCCAUCGCCAUAAACGUCCCCUUAACCAUGAUAAAAGAGGUGAAGUCGACCUGAUAGUUAUACAAAGUGUAUGGUAAAAAUUAUGAUAAUGGUUGAAGGACUUCCAAGUAAAGUCAAGCAAGUGAAAAUUGCACUAUAUAAAUUUCAGCAAGUCUUAUCCAUGUGCAAGGAAAAAGAAAAAUUCUUGAAAUGUGGUACUCCUAGUAGUUUACUUUCUAUGGUGGAUAAUUUAUGAUUCUAUGAGUUAAUUGUUGUGAAUUCUUCAAACAUCUUGCCAAGAGAGAAUGUGUUGAAUUCGACAUGACAAGAUGUAGAAUGUGUAACUCCCACAUAAAUAUUUCGUAGGAAGGUGAAUGACUCCAAACCUACGUAAAUAACCUAUUUAAUCGAUUAAGCUAUUUUUAAUUUAAGAAUAAAAAAGAUGGUAGUAGUCAAAACUUUUAUGUUGUUAAUUGAAAACAGGAAGCAAAAAAAUCUAAUGUGAAUGUAACAAUUUUUUACAUAGUAAUAUUUUUCUCCAGUAUGAGAUAUUUUCAUGUGCAUUCUAAUUCCUUUAGUUUCUAUGUUAUUUUUUCUGCUUAUUAUUGCUAUGAAAUUGAGAGGUUUGAACCCAACAAUAAUGAAAUUGCAAUUUAAGUACCAACACACAUACCCAACAGGUCGAUUGGGUCGAUUCCAUUACUUUACUCCGACAGCGAUGACACAAGCAAGACUAGUUAAAAUAAGUAUUGAAGUGAUAGGCCACAUUUUGUUUUAAUCUUGUCAAGUAGAUAUCAAAGGUACAAUUUUCAUAAAGUAUAUUGAGAGUUAAUAUUUGAGUCAAAUUAUAAAAAAAUAAAUUUAAAGAGAGAACAGGAUACCUGAUAAUGUAAUCUAAAUAUAAAGAAAGCAGUAAACUUGAUGAGUAAUCUAAAUGGUAAAUUUAGAUUUGUGUCUCAACCAAUCCAAACGCACUCAUCCAACCAUGCCAUGAUUGGGAUUUUAUUCUUUAUCCCUCCAAUAAAUGACCUCACGAAAUAUAUAAUGCAAUCUGUCAUAUACAAAAGAAAUAAAAACAAAACUGUACACUUUAUCAAAUAAAAAGAGCAGAGGAUCUUGCUCGGUUGUAACAUGUUACAAAACUAAAGGAAAAACAAGAAGAAAAUCCCAACAGAAGCAAUCAUAGAGCAAGUAGAGAUCAAGAAAGUAAGAUCCUGCCCAACUGUGUAUAUACAUUGUAAGAUCAUAAUGCCUUGCAGAAUUUCUUGGAGAAAUACAUGAGAGUGAUGGACAUAUAUUCAAACAUUAUGGAAUUGCUUAUAUCUACUUUAAUUCCGAAAUAUCAUUUUGAAUUUACUUUUUAUGUGGUCCUUUCAAGUUUUUAAUUUAACUUCAAUUUAAUCUCUAACUUUCAAAAUUUUACCCAAACUUCAAGAGCAUUACGAAUUUUACUCUUGAAAUUAGAAAUUUGUUUCAUUUGGGUCCAAAAGUUACACUUAUAAAAUCUCACUUAAUAUUGGUAAAGUAAAACAAAAGGGAAAAAUUACCCAAUAAAAAUAAAUAUGAAAAGUAUAUAGAUGAGAAGAAGAAAUUUCAAAAUACAGAUAGAAAAAGAUUAAAAUAUCAAAUUACGGAGUGAUAAAUGUGAAAACUUCAACGAUGUUUACUAUUGAAUUGGCCAACUCAAGAAGUUUGUGGGCUGAAUAGGUCAAUCUAAAUGUGUAGCAUUUGAAAUCUAAGGAACAAAUAAAGACUAAAUCAUUGGGACAACAAAAGGUAUUUUUUUCCUAUUUAUAACAUUAAUAAAUAAAUUUGGAUUUUAGAAAAAAAUAAAAUCAAGCAAACUAUGAAAAAUGAGUAUAAAAUCUUGAUACUAUGAAAUAUGAGGCAUCGAAAGAAGCAUCUACCCCAUGACAAGAUUUGAUACUCAUUGACAAAGGUUGCAUUAUUGAGGAAGGGCCACAGAGGCAGAGUCCAAUCUCUGAGAGAUCCAAUAUUAAAAAGGUGAAUCUUUUCUUUACAAAGAUGUAGGGACUAAGAGAAAAAGAGCAUUAAUAAUAACACAUACAAGGAAUUAAAUGCUGUCCUAAAAUUAAAACUCCCUUAUGGAAUUAAAGCUUCUUAGAAGAAAAAACUACAUUUCUAAGCCUGUUUUAGUAUCAUUACUAUCAUGUCAUCAUCUCAUGAAAUCGUUUAUUUGAAAUGGUAUUGUCAAUCAAAAGGUCAUUGUGAUAUAUCAUCAUUCAAAAGGCCAAAGCACAUCAACAUCAAUGCAGCUUGUGAAAAGAGGAUGUCAUGUAUAGAACUUAGUAGAACGACCAAGUUGCUUUCUAACCACAAGGUCUUUGCCGAGUUUUCUUUAAAGCUUCUGCAACAACCCUGGGACUCUAGUAGAGACAACUUAAACAAUAAUUGUACUAUUUUGUUACUGCUUCAUUAUUUUAUAUGCCUCACCUCACAUACCCAUCUGUUCCCAACCAUUUUCCCUCCUACAUGGUAUUACUAUAAAAGAAAACCCUGCACUUACAGAAAGAAUGCAAAGAUUUCGUAGCAAAAUUCUAACUUCUGUCCUAACUAAUGUUCUCCCAAUCAAAUUUCUUAAUGUAGAGAGAGAGAGAGAGUAAGAUAUUGCAAGGCAUGUAAAGUACAGAACUAAACAUGUCUCCUAUAGGAGCUAUGGAAAUUAUGGUUUUCUUGAAAAUUUAAUAUCGAGAGAGAAGGUGAGAGUGAGGAAAAUUGUUGUACCUGUGGCUCCUUGUGGCGAUCACAUGUUCAGGGACCCACAUGACACCUUACCUAUAAUGAUCAAAUACCUUUAAAACUUUGGACCAGUUUGCAUACAUCAACAUCCCCAAGGAAUUCCAGAUGGUCCAUUUCAACUCACCACUGUGCCUUUUAACUUGCUUCAGUUCAUUUCACUUCGUCAAUUGACUUUUCUCAAAGAAAAGAAAAUAACAGAAUCAAUACCAUUCAAAACAACUUACAUUGCUUUUAAUAGGAAUCACCCGACAAUCAGCUCCUCUCCUUUUAAUAUAUGUUUAUACAUAUUGUUUUCAGAAACAGCUAGUCUGCACUUUGAAUUAUUUACCCAUAAGUUGUACGGAAAUAAUAUACAUGAAAUAUCCUAAUGUAUCAGAGAACAAAAAAACAUAUGAAAACCAAACUUGAUUUUCAAAACUUUUUUUUUUUGUUCUCGUAUAACCAGGUGUCGAAGCUUUACUCCUCCAUGCCCAACACCUCAAGGCCUAAACCCAGGAUUCGCAUAAAGGUUUGAACUUGGAACUUCUGAGUCAGUUUUUGUUCUGCUGUAUUUAAAUUAAGUGUGAAAGCUUAUUUAACUUUAAUACUACCGUGGCAUGAAAUCACUAUUCAAAGAUUUAGAAGGAUGAAAGUCACUCUAAAUGUAUUGUUCUUAGGAGGGAAAAAAAUUAAUGACCUCAGCAGCUUCUCUCAACCAAAUGCCGCCUUUACAUUAGGACCCAAGCUGAGCUAAUAAAGAGGCCUACUAUCCCAAGACAAGACAAUAAGUAAAUAAUGUCUGCACCCAAGUCGACACUGUUCAUUGGCCAAACAAGCUCUUUAAAUUCUCUUCUUCAACUUCCAAUUACCUUAAUCCCUUCUACACCACUUCUUUUCUCUUUGCCUCAUAAAGAAAAAUAAAGAGAAGAUCAAUUUUAGAAACAUGGGGUCACCAUUUUCCAACUUCCUCAACCACAAAAAUUUCUUACUCUUCAAAAUUUCCAUGAUCCUAUUCAUAAACUGGGCAAUUUAUAGACCUAAUCUUUGUUUCACCAAGUGUUUCGGGGAGCCAACCGAUGACCCUGCUAUACAGUCUUCUUCCAAAGUGCUUUCAUCCUUGGAAACAAUAAACCUAGAUGGAUACUUUAGCUUUAAAAACAAUCAAGAAGCAGCUAAAGAUUUUGGCAAUAGAUAUAACAUGCUACCCUUAGCAGUUUUACAUCCACAUUCCGUUCAUGACAUUUCAAUUACAUUAAAGCAUAUUUUUCAAAUGGGUUCAGGAACAGAACUUACAGUUGCUGCAAGGGGCCACGGCCAUUCUCUUCAAGGUCAGGCACAAGCCUUGCGAGGCAUAGUUAUCAACAUGGAGUCCCUGAAGGAACCAGCCAUGCAGGUUCACAGUGGGAAUCUUUCAUGGGUGGAUGUCCACGGAGGGGAGCUGUGGAUAAAUAUCUUGCAUGAAACACUUAAAUAUGGCUUAACACCAAAAUCUUGGACUGACUACCUUCAUCUUUCUGUGGGUGGUACUCUAUCAAAUGCUGGUAUUAGUGGGCAAGCUUUUAGACAUGGACCUCAAAUCAGUAACGUUCACCAGUUAGAAGUUGUCACAGGUAUUCCUUCUUGGAUUAUUCAUAAGCUUUUUAUAAUGCAUAUAUUAUUGUUUAGAAUUCCUCACUCAGUAAUAACAGUCAAUUGAUCACGAAUUCAUUGCACCAUUAAAUUCUCUUGCAUUACCCACUUAUAGUAAUGGAAGGGCUCAUGUCUAGUACUUUCAACUAUUUCCUUCUAGCACCAAAUUUAGGUAUAAACUUAGGACUAAAGUGACUUGAGUACACAGUCAUAACCAAGAGAUUAGAUGUUCAAAUCCCCCCUAUCUCCCUCCCUAGAACUCAAUCAAAAGCUAAAAUAAUAAACAAACACACUCCUAAAGGGAAAUUUGAAUUUUUUUUAGUACAAUAAUUAUGUAAAUGGGAGAUCAAAUUUUUAGGAGAUUGAAUUCUCAACCUCAAGGAUAUACUUGCCAUUUGUCUUGCGUGUCAAUUACCAAUAUUGGAUAUCAAUGAUGAACCUUCCUGCUAUACUUAAUCACCAGGCAAGCAAAACCACCUAAUUUAAUUAAGGUGGCCCUCAAGAAUUUGACUCGCCAAACUUUUGAAGUGUAAAAUACAGAUCAUUCUAUUACCCUCCAUUAACAAUCUUUCUCUAAAAAUGUCUCUCUCACAUGUUCCCCUUCAAAUACUAUUGUUAUCCCCCCACCACACACUUAUCUAUCCAACGAACUAGGGAGAAGGCUUGCAAUAAGGAAAUCUUUUGAGAAAAUUGUAUGAUAGAGAAGCAGAUAUUUGCUUAGAGCAGAGUAGUUGAGUGAUAUGUUUCUUCAGAAAGAGACUUUCUUUUCUCAUUAAAAAGAAUCUUUAAUAUGAGGCAACAAAGAGAAUAACUUUUACGCUUAUGGAAGUUAGAAGGAUUAAUUUAUUAAGAGAACUCAAUAAUUUAGAGUUGGUUUUUUUCACUCUGGACAAAAAUAUGUAAUCCAUUCACAUCCUCCGUAAGUCAUAACAAAGUAAUAGGGCGGAGAAAUUUAAAUAGUACUUGUGCUGUUGGCUGGGGAAAUCUUCCGUAAUUCCUUUCUAGUGAGAAGAAAAAAUUCACCUCCUAACUAAACAUAAAUUAUGGAGUACUCAUGCUAUAUGUUUCUCCCUCUACUUGAAUGACUAAUCUCACAGUUGAGAAAAUGUAGGGCAACAAUGACAUAUACCAAAUAUGAAAACAUGGAUAAUCCCUGAUAAAAUUUGGAGGAAAUGAAAAAAUGCAAGUAAUUUCAAUCACCACAAUCUCCAAUUUACCAAAAAAAAAAGAAUCAAUAAUUAAACCCAUUUCAUGACAAACCAAUGAUAUUUAAUAGAUUUAUACAACAUUGUUGUUCUGAAAAAGUAUAAUAAUGUCGAAGAAGUUUAGCAAGUAUUGCCUACAAUUCCAAAUCUCAUUUCCUGUUGCCUACAAUUCUAUCUGAAGCAUGAGCUUUCUUAUAGACAUUAUAAUCUUUCAUUUCGGUCAACCCCUCAAUUAUGUAAGAUUUAUAACUAAAAUACAGCAUUGAAAUAAGUGGCAAUAACUCUUCAAACACUCUGAAAGUAAACCUUCAAAUCAAAAUGCUAUCAUUCACAAGGAAAACAUAAAGUACUAGAAUCUCUAUAGGCUUUUUGUCUCUAACUUCAUUUAUAGUUUUCGGUCCCAAGUUUUCUUUUGAUUUUCCUUUUUUGUUUUAAAAAAUAGAACAAAACCAUGAAGGAAUAAUUUUCCGUUCGGUGAAAAAGGAAGGAAAAUAAAAAAUGAUAGUAUAAUGUCUGUCUCUCGAUGCAAACAAAAUAGUCAAGAGAAAAAAAAGAGUGAAAAAUAAGCACUAUGAAAAUAACCUAAAUCUUGGUAAGAAAUUUUUAAAAAUGAUAACAAUAAUAAUGAUGAUGAGGCUGAAAAGAGCCAAGAGCGACUACAAAUGGAGAAAUCCAGAGGGAACUAACUUGAGAGAGAGACCACAGGGGAAAAACACAAAAGAGAGCCCACCAAAGCAAAUGAACUACUUGAAUGACUUUAACUCAUUUCAACAAUAAAACCUUGAAAGUGGACAAAACCAAUGUAGUUUCAACUGUGCAGGAAGGGGAGAAGUAGUUACCUGUUCAGAGCAAGAGAAUUCAGACUUGUUUUACAGUGUACUUGGAGGCCUUGGUCAGUUCGGCAUCAUCACAAGGGCGAGGAUAUCUCUAGAAUUAGCACCAAAAAUGGUAAUAUACCCUGCAUUCCAUCAGAAUAGGUAUAUAAUAUAAAACUUUGUGAUAUCUUGUAAUGUAUAACACAAUCCACCAUCUUUUGUCAGGUAAAGUGGAUAAGAACCUUGUAUUCAGACUUUGCCAUAUUCUCCAAGGACCAGGAGCAUCUGAUAUCCUCCAAAUAUUCCUUUGAUUAUAUCGAAGGUUUUGUUCUAAUAAAUAGAACUGGUAUUCUCAACAAUUGGAGAUCUUCCUUUGAUCCCAAAGAUCCAGUUCAAGCGAGCCAAUUCGUCACAGAUAGGACAACUCUGUAUUGUCUAGAAAUGGCCAUGUACUUCAACUCUGAAGAGAAAGAAACUAUGAACAAGGUGAGCAAUUCAAUAAACAUUAUCAGAUAUCAUGCUCAGGUCUGGGGCAGGGAGGAAGAAAUGUUUACCAUAUAAUGUCAUUUCUACAUGGUCAUGCAGAGAGUCGAGAAGUUGCUAUUGCAAUUGAGCUACAUUCCAGCCACUCUCUUUCUGUCGGAAGUUCCUUACGAGGAGUUCCUGGAUAGAGUGCACAUAUCUGAGAAAAAACUCAGGGCAAAAGGAUUGUGGGAGGUUCCUCAUCCUUGGCUGAAUUUAAUGAUCCCAAGAAGCAGCAUACAUGAUUUUGCAGCAGAGGUGUUUGGCAAAAUUCUUUCAGAUUCUACCAGUGGUCCCAUACUAAUCUACCCAGUCAACAAAUCCAAGUAGUUGCUUCAUUAGAUUUGUCACAGAAACUCUGAACUUUAUUAAUUCCCCAUUCUAAUACAAAUCAGUUUGGGUUAUACAGGUGGAACAAUAAAACAUCAUUGAUCACACCAGACGAAGAAAUUUUCUACCUAGUGGGUUUCUUAUUUUCUACACUGCCAACUUCAACCGGAAAAGAGAGCUUAGAAUACAUUUUAGCCCAAAACCAAAUAAUUUUGGACUACUGUGCCAGGGCCCUUCCAGGAUGUAAGCAAUAUCUGCCUCAUUAUCGCUCCCAAGACGAAUGGCAAGCUCAUUUUGGCUCCAAAUGGCGGGUACUGAAGGAGAGGAAAUCUGCCUAUGACCCAUUAUCAAUCCUUGCACCAGGACAAAGAGUCUUCCAGAAAGCCACUUCUGUACAACAUCUUAUAUCCAAAACAAAACACAAAAAAGGCAUCCUAGAGGAAGAGAAUGCUAAAAUGAUCUAAUAAAGGCGAAAUAAAUCAAGUGUAUCCAAGCAUAAUAAUAACAUUAAUCAGAAAGGGACUGGAGGUAUUGAGUUGUCAGUGAGAGUUUUACGAUUUAAAAUCACAAUCAAAUGUCCAGUGCACCAAAGGGUUAUGAGCUUAACCUUUCUUCCAAAGGACAUAUAAAGCAUAAUUCUGAAAGAUUCACUCUCAAAAUCUAUCUUUACGAUUGGAUCGCAAUCCUGAUCUAUAUUGAUUCAAAACAUAAUCCUGUACAGACCUAGUAAACAAACCAUACUUACAAAUGACUGAAGUUGAACAAAAAAAAAUGCUCAAAGCAGAACUACUCAGUUUUUGUAGCUUCUUUCCACCCAAGACCUGGUCUAGAAAUUUCCCCCUGCGGCCCUUCAUAGUCUCGAGCAUUGAGAAUUGUAGCCUCAAAGUCAGUAGAAUCACUUGCAACAGGAAGAAAACUACCAAUUUCAUCCCUCGCACCAAACCCUCCAGCCCGUAGAACAUCAUCAGCCGACAUGGAAGCCUCCAUAUUAAUUUCCCCAGCCAUAUCAACCCGUUGCGUAGGUUCAGCCUUCACAACAUUCUCCCCACCUCUGUUAGUUUGCACAUCUUUCGGUAAGCUUGAAACUGAUUCCGCAACGUCUUUCUCAACCAUCACAGAAGAAUCAUCUCUCUUAUCUGGGGUAAACAAAUAAAAGCAAAAAUAUCAACAGGUAAAACCGAAUUUGGGAUGAUUUUUCUACAUCCUUCUUGAAAUCUCUUCAAUUUCAUAUUGAAAAUUCAACAAAAAAUUUCGCAUAUGACAAUGCACAAACCAGUUCCUUCCCACAUCAUCAAAUCCUUUAAGAAAGCAUAUACAAGUAGGUUUAGAUCCAGAAAAUCAAAAUUAGAAAAAAAAAAAAACAACAACAACAAAAUAGGAAAUCAAACGCAUGAUUCUGAAAGAAGAAAGGCAAUGGAAAACAGAAGAAUGGAGGCGAGAAUGAGUUGUUGGAGAGAGAGACCUGGAAGUGAAGAGGUCCGGUGAAGUUCCAUGGCUAAGGAUGAUCUGUGGAGCGGCAAAAGGCAAGGUGUGAAGUGAAAUAUAAAGACGCGCGUCGGACACGUUUGCAGUUUGAAUACCGGUCAUUGUAAGUUGAGGAAAGUACUACACACUGCUUUAUUCCAUUGAUAUUUUUCGGAGUUUUUCUAUUUAGUCUAAAGAAUAGCGAUAGGUGGAUUAUUAUUAUAGUUCCAUAAAUUAUAUAUGUAAACUUAUAAUUGUUUGUAGGACCAACAAAUAUAUACCCAUAUAUAUAUAUAACCAAAUAUAGCAAAGGAAUCUUUUACAAUCUAUGUAUCAAAAAUGGAUUACAAUCCUCUACUCCUCUCUAUCAUUAUCUACUUUCUAUUGUCCUAUUAGCUAGUAUUUUUGGUGUUAUUUAUUUUUUAUUAUGAACUGAAAUAGUAGGCUAUCAUCAAUCAUUUCCUACAAGUUAUUUUAGUUUUUGUUUCGUUUAUUUUUAAGGUUAAAAUACUGUUUUUGUUAAGUAUAAAUUUUAAUUUAAUUGAUAACAUAUAAGUUAAUAAUCAACAUUUAAGAAAAGGAGACUAAAAUUUGGAGCGCCUCAAAGUAUAUAAACCAAAAAAUGAUUUUAACUUUUUCAUUGGAAGAAUACUUUACUGCACCUAUUUUAUGUAGCUCACUUAAUAACAUGUUGUGUUAGGAGUGGUCAUUUAAAUAGCAAAAAUUGAAAACUCAAUAAAACUAAAAAUUAUUGUUAAGUCCGUUUAAAAAAAAUUGAAACCAAACUAAACCAUUUUUAACUACAAUAUAUUUAGUUUUAUAAAUAUUUUAUAUAUUUAAAAAAGAGAGUAAAACCAAUUGAAACUUUGAAUAACAAAAUAGAAUUUAAAACAAAUUACCAAACUAAACCAAAACAAAUAACUUCGAGUCUAAUUUGACCACCAAACAUAAUCAAAUCAAGUUGUUUCCACCCAUUUCCUGUGUCAAAAUCAACUUCAACCCCUUUUCUGUGUCAAAAUCGAAAUAUUAUAUGAAGAUAAAGCUUCUGAAAAUAUUUACAAAUAUAGUAAAAUAACCAUCUAUCCGUAAAAACUACUAUUAUAACAUUUUGUUUAGCUAUAUUUGAAAAUGGCUCAAUUUUAAUUUUUUUUUUAAUUAAAUCAUUAUACUAUCAUCAUAGGAUAAAUGAUGAACUAAAUGGUGAUUUAGUAAUGGUAGUUUAAACAUUAUUUUUCUAUAAACCAUAUAAAUUAAGUGAACUAAUUUCUUAAUUUGUGCAUAGCACUAAAUAGCAUAUAUUUGUACUCCACAAACUUAUAUCAUUCACUUAUAAAUUUUUCAUUUAGUUCCUAUAUUUUAAAAUCUUAGUUGCAAAAAUAUUUUUGUACCAAAAUUUAUUAGAUUUGUUGUACUCAAAAUGUUCUUAUUAAGGUCAAACAAUCGUAAAAGAUUAUUACGUGAAGACAAGGGUCUGUUUUACCUUAAAAGGAUUUGCUUUCCCACACCAUGCUAUCAUGAUGCUCAUUGUGUUUAGCGCACACAUUCCUUAGGCAUGCGGUCAUAUUUACUCGAUUGAAAUAUGUAAUUUUCGUUUUCGAAAACUUCUAAUUAAUUUGCUAAAAUCAACAUAAACUGUCUAAAAAUUUCAAUGACCAAAUGGAACCACAUCUGAAACCGACUCCAUUAUUUCUUCAUAUGUCUAUUUUUCAUCUAACAUCGUGCAUCGAUUUAAUGCUGAAUUCUGCAUUCACUGUGUCAAAGCAAGAACUUUCUUCACAAACAUCUCAUGAUUAGAUAAACAAGAAAUGUUCUGUUCACCUAAACUGAAUGAUAAGUUGUGUCAACAUAAUUAGCUAAUACUCUUAUCAAUUAGAGGGUUCGAGGAAUUCAUUUGAGGUUUGGUCUUGUAUUUUUUUCAACGUGUCUCCCUCUUGUAGCUCAUCUCCUUUUCUAUUUCACUUCCUUUCUAAAUGAACGUUCGAUUCUUCAUAUACUCAUAAUUUAUUCUUAACCCAUUCUUUCAUUUCACCUAAAAAUUAGAAGCUCAAAAGAGGUAUACAUAUCAGAGAAGAGAGAGUGGAGUAUACAUAUCUUUUGCAGCUUUGGUAAAAUGUACCUCAUAACUUGGAUGCAGUGGCUGUGCAUUUAUUGGUGUUGGAGGCAACUUUCCGCAAUGCAAUUGCUACUUUUGAAGCUGAAGGACGCCCCAACUGCUUGCAGAUGAAAUCUCCAGCCAACAUGAGCUUUCCAAGAUCUACAUUGGUUUUCGCCCCAAUUCCAUUCAGCAUAUACACAACAUCUUCAGUUGCAACGUUUCCAGAAGCACCCUUGGCAUAUGGACAACCCCCAAGACCCGAAACCGAAGAAUCCACCGUGCCAAUCCCCAUCUGAUAAUAAGAUAAAAUGUUUUUCAUCCAUUUUUAAACAUCAUUGUAUCCAUUCCGUGCAAGUGUAACAUAUUUGUUUUCACAAUCAAUCACAAUCACAUAUUCGUUUUCACUAUCAAUCCCAAUUAAAUAGUGUAACUCAUAGGUGAAGUGAGAGUAGUAUUUAUAAACUUAAUUUUUUUAAGAAAACCAUACAACUAUAAAAUGGAGUCGUAACUGUUUAACCCUCACUUUAUAACAUUGCUUCUUUCACAAAAAUCUAGUUCUAAGCUUCAAAGUUCUAGGACAAGGUCUUCAUUUUGUCUUUUUUGAACUAGGGUGUUUGGUAACUUGAAUAAAUUGGAAGAGUUGGAUUGCAUGGGUAAAAAAAACAAUCAUAUGUUUGAUUCACCAAUAAUUAAAGAGGUUUACUAUCUUGUUAUUCACAUCAACUCACAUUUUGCACCAAAAUACUCACAAUUCUCACAUCGUUAAUCAUGUCAACUCCCCCAAUAACUUCCCUAUAAUUAGUGCCAACUCAGCUCAACUCUUUGUUUUUAUCACUAACCAAACGCCCCCAUAUAUGUGUGUGUGUAUAUUGGUAACUAGGUGCUUUGUAUAUUUUCCCUCCUAAUAAAACCCAAACAAGUUUUAGAUGCCAAGGGAUAAGGAUAAGCCUUUGGUAGUCAAUAUCCAAGAGAAAGCAAGUGAAAGGGGAAAAUCUUCAGUACUAUGGGUACCCUCCCUUUACUAUUUGACACAUCAGUCAGUGAUACUUGUUCAAGAUCUAGUUCUUAAACUAGUAAGUUAUAUUUAACAUUUUUUAUUUGGCAUUUUCUAAAGUUAAAAUGUUUGUUAAACAUAACAUUGAAUUUCAUGUCUAAAAAGACGACAAAAUUUCAAUUUGUGGGCUGCUAUAAGAUGGUUGUGUGAGUGGGUUGCCUAGGAGUAUAUAGGGCGCUAGAAAGGGAUAGGGUACAAGGAUUCUUGCUAAGUGCAACUGCAAGGUAGCGUACCAAAGAUAAGGUCUCUUUAACGUCCCUAAAUUGUGCCUUGGAUUCUGAAUAUAUACAGUGGUUGUGAUUCUAUCAGAUACUCGCCAAUAAAUACCAAUUCAUUGGUAUAUAUUGCUUGAGGACUUGUAGGUUCCGAGCAAUUAAAACCAAGAUGGAAAAGAAGAGAAUACCUGGAGUGAGACUAAAAUAUUGGACAGAGCUUGCCCGUAAGUAUCAUGGAAAUGAACAGCAAGAUUUUCAGUUGGAACAACAUUAGCUACAGAUUCAAGCAUUGGAAUCACAGUUCCUGCAGUUGCAAAAAACUAAAGUUAAAGAAGAGGAGGAGGAGAAGAAGCAGAAGGAGGAGGAGGCGAAGAAGAAGAAGAAGCAGCAGAAGAAGAAGACCAAGAAGGAAAAGAAGAAAGCAAGAAUUGAUGCUUUUUUAAAGUUAUUUCUGACCAAAAAAAAUUAUUAUGUAAUAUCUAGAUAAUGAUACUUUUUUAUAAGUUAAUAACUUGAUGCUUUCAAUAAGAUGAUUAUACGAAUUGAAUAGAAUAUAAGUAUUCUACGGGAAAUUCUCUUAAAAGUAAGAUAAAAUAUGACAAAAAUUGUACAAGUCAUGGAGAUUCGAGAGCCCCUCCUGAUCUCACUCACUGAGCAAAGUACAGAAAAUUGCUUGAAAGAUGAUCGUCCUAGUGGUUACCUGGAGUACCAACACCAAUUGUAUCACCAAGGGAAAUCUCUGAGCAUCCCAUACUGUAAAGCUCCUUAGCAACGUAUGCUACAUUUGAUGCCGGCACCAUUCCUUCAAUGGGACAGCCCACAACACAUGAUACAUAUCUAACAUGUUUAUAGGAGACAUUUUCAAAAUAUAAAAAGAGAAUCAUAUCACUCCCUCUAAAAGAUUUUAAAUCUAAAUAAACAUAUAAUUAUCAACAAUACAUAAUUACAUUUUAAUUUAUAAGGCACAUAUAAGAUGGGAGGGCUGGACACCCUCCCACCUCUAAUAGUAAAAGGAGGCAGAUGCAAUUGAAACAUGAAAAAAUAUUUUGGUAAUAACGUCCGACUAUGAUUAUCUCUUCUUUUUUUCUUUUUUUUUUAAUAAGAAAGAGACUACAAAGAACGCCAAAGUUGCUCUACAAAGAUCAACAAACAUUUUCAGAAUUUAGAAACUAAAACAACAAAAAAUAAAUAAGUUAUUCGAAAAUUUGCUCUCUUGAAUUAUCCUCGUCUCUGAAACAUCUCCUAGACAUUCCAACCACACUUUCCAAAGAAGAACACUUCAGAUGUUAAACCAAUGCACCUUCACCUCAGGUCCUGAGAAAGCUAGAAAAUAUUUUGAAACGAAGAAAACCAGCUAAAAGCAAAGGUUAAUGGAGGAUUGAUUUCACAGCAGAGCAUCAUCAAAUCAAAUGAUGAAAGCUGUUGAAAACACAAGAGUUCCUAAAAAAGUUACAAAAUAGAUGAAAAUGUUUUGAGGUCUUUAGGGUGAGAGGAACCAAUAAAGUUCUCAUAGGAGUUAAGAGAUCUGAGGAGAAAGUUAGAUCCCUCCUCGUUAGGGUCCGUACCUCCCUUUGGGCUUUAGUGUGUAAGGACUUUAUAAUUAGUAAUUUUCAAUCAAAAGUUCUGAAAAUUCUGAGAUGAAAUCGAGAGUAGAGGGUGCUUUCAUAGAGGUGUUGAUUUCAAUGAACAUUUCAUGAUCCUUCAAUCAAACUCCCUAAGCCCAAUAUUAAUGAAUUGAAUCUGUCUUUCAUUCAACAGGUAUAUGUAAUGUGAUCACUGAUCUACAAAAUUAUGUCAAACGUUCUUGCUAACCAUUUGUAUUGGAUCGGAUCAUUUAAACCAACCAAAGUGCUCUCAUGCCAGAUAGAGGUAGACAUUUUAUAGAUGAUGUCUGUUGGCUUAUGAGCAUAUCAACUGUAUUAUUUUGUAGACAUAAAGGGGUCGAAGUAUUAUAGCCUCAGCACUAAAAGUAACAAAAUCAAACCAGAUGUAUGAUUGUUGAAAAGAAAAUAUUCAGUUUUCUGGUUCAUAUACCUACCCACGAACUGGAAGUGAGUGCUUUCUUGCCGCAUCAGCAACUUGGCGGUAGCGAUGAAGACUUUCUUCUAUGCUGCAAUUGAUAUUUGACUUCGAGAAGGAUUCAGACGCUGAAGCAAAGAUGGCUACUUCCUUUGCUCCAGCUGCUACAGCUGCUUCAAAACCCUAGAUAAAGAAGUAAAAAAUCUCAUAAGUCCAAAAAUCACGAAAUGCCUUCCAGAUUAGUCCUAAUUUUGUUUUGUAUUUUUUUUAAUACAGCCAAUUUUGCAUUUGUGUAUUAAAGCUCGUACUUUAAGAUUUGGGGUCAACACAGGAAAUCGAGCACCUUCAACAUUUCGAAUUCCCUCCAUGACUUCCUUUGCAUCUGCUAACUGAGGAAAAUAUGAGGAAAAGAGAUUAAUACGUACACGUACAAGAAACUCAAACACGAAGACAGAGCACAUGAAAAGUUGAAGGUCAGGAGAAGGAAGAAUGAGACAAGGUAACUGUUUCAGGAAUAGAAACAAUAUACCAACCAAUAUUUUCAUAGUAUCAAGCAACCUUACCUGCGGUACCCAUUUUGGAGAAACAAAACUCGUGGCUUCAACAACAGGCAAGCCAGAAGAGACUAGCAUCUUUAUUAAAUCAACCUUAACAGCAGUAGGUACAAUGUGCUUUUCAUUUUGUAGUCCAUCUCUUGGACCAACUUCAACAAUCUUCACAAAUGGCGGAAUACGGCAUAAAUACUACAAAGGAAGAAAAAGACUUUCAUCAAAAAAUUCAAUGUAUUUAUUUCUUUUCUUUUCUUUUCUUUUAUAUAAGAAACAGAAACCACUGAAUAUAUUAAAUAACCAUUAUAAUCGAAAACAACAGUUAAGAUUAAGAUUACAGUACAGAAAAAAGAAGAGGAAAAAAACCAAACAAAAAAAACAGAAAAAUAAAAUAAAAUAAAGACUUGUUACAAAUCAUAUCAUACAAGAAUAUAAAUAAGAGGACAAAGAUCUUGACGGGAAACAGAACCCAAGAAUAGCACAAAGGGAAAAAAUUAUUUCAACAUUUGAAACGCCUAUGUUACGUGUUCCAUAGACAAUUUACAAUUGUGGAAGCUAUACUAACAAUUCGGUAAAUGCUCAAGGUGAUAAGGAUUACUCAACUCCCAGAUUUUACAUCUUAUACUAAGAAAAAUCCAUUUUAGAACAUCACCUGGGACAAUCCCCCCUUAUUUUCUCUCGAAAGGACUGCAUCUCUUCCAUCUUGUUGACUGGAGAGAAAGAAAUGGAAUGUUGCAUUACAUUCAAACUUAAUACGAGACUUAAAGAAAAUAAAAAAAAGAGAUACCACAGUUAAUUCAAAUAUAUAAUACUUCUAGAUUCUAUUACACAAGUUCUGUGCCGUUACUAAGAAAGUCCAAUAAACCUAGCCAGGUAUAGCAUACGAGGGACCUCCUGAUCUCUAUUAAAUCCAAAAAGGGAUAAUUCCUACAUUCACCGUGUAUAGAAACUGAAAGCGAAGACUGAAGAUAGAAAUUAAUCAAAUUAUUCUCUCCAAACCCAAUCAAAUUAUUAGCUCUACUCUUGAAAGGACUCUAACAAAAGUAGAUGAAGUAGAUUUCUCAUCAUAAAUUUAGAAAACAAAAAUGCCCUAAUUUCACGAUGCAUAUUCCAUGACUCAUCCCCUAAAGGACUGAAAGAAUUCUACAGCACAUUUUCCGCAAAUGCUAUUGCAACGAUAAUCAAGAGGUUUAAUACAAAGCAAAAGUUUAAAAAUCAAAAGGGUACGAGCAAUUCUCCCUAUAAUCAUUAAUCAGAAUCGUUUCGACUAUACCUGCAAUUAUAAAAUUCUCGUUGUAUGCCAGGGGUUCUGAUGGAGCUGACGCCUACAUCUGUGGCGGAAGGUGAAACAAGAAAUGGGGUGGGAGUUUCCAUGGAGAGAUUAUAAGCAUGACGCCAAGAAAAAGAUUGUCGAGUGAAUUUAGCAGAGAGCUUUGCAGCUUGCAUAAUCACAGGAAGGAAAGUCCGGUAAGAAACGUAUAAAGAAGAUGAAGAUCAAGAUCAUAACCCCAUACGUCAAUCGAUAUAUAUCUUUAUACUUUUUUUUAAUAAUAAUUAUACACAUGACACAUUUCAUAUCUAUCACUUAUAGAUUUUUAAAUUAAAAUUAAAAUUCUCAUUCCCAAACUAUUUUUCAAUAAUUUAUUUUUUCUCCUUCUUUAAAAGUCAUAAACAUCAUUUAUUUCUCGUUUUAAGGUUCUAAUUAUCCUUUCUUAUAUAGAAAAUCUAAUCUUUUUUUCUCUUAAUUUUGAUUUUAGAAUAUAUGUCCCUAGUACACUAAUUACAACAUGACGUAUAAUGGUUAUUGAUCGAAGUAAUUUAACUUUAUUUAUGAUUUUUCUCUACUUUCUUUGACAUGUAUUUUGAGUUGAAUCUAACAAUUUCAAAUGAUUUUGUUUUAUCUUUUCACGUUAGUUUUGUUUUGGUUUUAUUUUAUAUCAGUUUUGUAUAUCAUUAUUGUCAUGUGGUUAUAUUAUAUAUUUACUACGUUUUAUUGUUUUUUUCAAAAUUUAUGCAGUUCAUUGUGAAAUUAUUAAGUAUACGAACAAUACAAGUCAUUAUAUCAUUAUCUAAAUAUAUAAACAAUAUAUUAUUAAAGGUAUAUCAACAUAUCGGUAACGUAAAUCAUUAUUAAGUAUAUUAAUUAAGUUUAUAAAUGUAUAUCAAUAACGUACCUAGUAUAUGAGUGGAACUUCAAGCAUAUCAAGUUUAUUUAAUCAAUCGAUUAUAUCAGUGAAUAAUACUAAGUAUAUCUACAAUACAUCAAAUAUAUUAGCAGUGCAUCCAAUGUAUCAAAUUUAUCAGUGAGACAUUUAAGUGAAUCAAGGGUUAAAGGGUAUUAAGUGUAUAAAGAAUAAUCAUGGUGCAACAAGUGUAUCAAGAUCCAAAAGUUAUCAAGAAGUAUCAAAUGUAUAUAUCAAUUGUAUCGAAGUAUCAGAUUUAUCAAGAAAUGUUUAGUAUAUCAAAUGUAUAUAGGACAUUUAUAACAUUUUACAUAUUGUAUAUGUGAGUUGGGCUUUGUUUUGUUUUCUUCAUUUUUGCAAACAAUAAACAUGUGUAUUAUGGACUUGAUUGUUAUAACGUAUGUUUACCUUUUUUUGCAAGUGUUCCUUAAAACUUUAUAUUAUUCUUGACUUUCGUAGUUAUUAAUUAUUUUAAUGCAUACAAGUGUGAAGAAUUUGAAUCACAAGCUUCCCAAUUUUUAAUACAUAUAGGUGUUAGUUGAGGUAAACUGUUAUUUCACUAUUGAUAUAGUUAAAUUGCAUACUCUUUCAAAUUUUAAUUUUGAAAUGAAUCUAUUUAAAUUCUUAAUUAAAAUUAUAUUUGAAACCCAUUUAACUAUAACUAUAGUUGUGUAAAACUUUUUAGCAAUAUAGAAUCAUAACAAAAACACCAAAUUAAAGGAGUUAUGAAAUCACAGUUUGCAAUAACAAUGACGCAUAGACCAUAAUCAAUAGAAUUAGAAUGCUAAAUCCAUACCUACUUCUUCACCUACAAUAAUAUUAUGCAAGAAAUUGAACACCAUUCUCAACAAAACAAGUUCAAUGGAACCAACAAAUCAUAAUUUCACCAACUGAAUAUUGAAUUAAUUGUUCCCAAAACUUCCAAUGAAACUCUAACAUAAAUCACUAGACAUAAAAAUCGAUUUUAGCCACUAAGAUACCAAUAUUAAUUUAAUACAGUUGGAUAACUAUAUGAUAUUUAAUAUGAAUUUCCUCCCUCAUACCCUCGAAGAUCACUACCAUAUCAUAAAAAGAAAUUGAUUGAUCCAUGAAGAAAUGUCAAAUCCAGUUGAACCCCCGCCUAGAACGUAGUUACUGCCCAUUGGAAGACACAUACACACACAUACAUACAAGAUAUAUAUGUGUAAUUGGAUACACAUUGAAUAAUUCAAAUAUAAAUACCAUACUCCAUAUAUAAAUACAAUAUAAUUUUUUUAAAAAAAUUCUUUUUACAACUAGACCAAUUAUAUAUAUAUAUAUAUAUAUAUAUAUAUUGUAAAUAUUUACAAUAAUUUUCUCUAAGUUAUUCAAAAUAUAUGUAAAACCCAUCUAAUAGAUAAAAUAUAAUGGAAAUUACAUACAACCAAAGUUCCAUAUUUUGUAGAUAAAGACGAUGACAGAUAUCUUGAUUGAUACGAGACUAUCACAUGUGUGUAUAUAUAAUUUUUUUUUUUUCUAAUGAAGUACUAGAAAUGAAAUGAAAUAAUAAAUAAAGGAAAGAAUGAAAAUCACAAAAAUCCACCGGCUUGGGAAAAAGAAAAAAAAAAAAAGGAAGCAUAGGGAGAGAGUGUUUGGUGUAGUCAUAGUCAUAAACAGAAAUAUUACAACCACUUAUGUGCUUUGUCCAAUGCCGACGUACGAACACAAGGGAAGUUUCCAAGAAACUUAAGAAAAUGCCAACUCACAUUUUUUUUCUUUACAACUAUAUUCAUUUUUCCAUCCAAAAUUAAAUAAAUACGCAACAUGAUAACUUUGGAGUUUGGGCAUAUCAUAUCAUAUCAUAUCACAUUUUCCCUAAUUUCUUUUUCAAUAAAUAAUUCCAUCUUUAUAAUUUAAAUGAUUUUUGACUUGAAAAUCGUGAAAAUAAAAUAAAUUAUAUAUUAGACAAAAAUUAUCUUCUCGUAUCUUCUAGUUAAAAAUAAGCGAUCAAAAUGGUAUUAUAAUGUUUUCAAUCUCUGAUUUACUCUACAUUAAAUUAAUUAAUUAUAUUGAUUAUGGAGUAACACAUAUAAGUUGAGUCUACGACGGCAAUAAAGUAAUGAGUUUAAUUUAGACUUUAAUUAUGGAGAAAGAAAAGGAAGAUUAGAUUUGUAUUAUUAUUGAAUUUCAAUUAAUUAAGACCAUAAUUCCAAAUCAAAGAAAGAGACACAGUUUCAUAUGUUGUGGGUUGUUCUUGGUUGGGAAAGCAUAGUUUUCUCUUUUCCCUUUAACUCCACGCCAUAUCCUUCUACUUUCCUCGAAACUUCCACAUAAAUUCUUCCCUAACUUUCCAAUUCACCUCAUUUCAUUAUCUACAUUCAUCUUUUAUUAGUAGUUGGACCUAAUUAUAUACUCAAUUCAUUUCAGAUCACUUCCAAAUUUAAUUAAGCGUAACAAACGUUGUAAGAUUAUAAAGCUAAUUAGGAUGUGAUUAUUAUACAAAAGUUGAUGGUUUCAUUUUUGUAACCUCAUAUUCGAUGAAUUAAGAAAAACUUUGAUGAUAUUAUUCUAAUGUCAUUCGAGUUUUAUUCAAUCUAACGAGAUGAUGAUAAAAAAUUAUAUGAUUUCGAUGGUGGGAAGAGAUUUUUCUAAGUUGUUUAACAAUGUAGAUGAGUGUCGAACUGAGUAUAUUUUAAUUUACAAAUAUUUGUGUUAAUGACAAACAGAUUUGUGAAUCAAAUUGUUUUUCUACUCUAUAAACCUUUACAUAUUUGAUUAUUUUAAAUAAUUAAUUAAGUUGAGUUUAGUUUAAAGAGAGUUCGGGAAAAUCCUUCAUUAAUUAGUCACUCUAUUCUCCCACCUACUCCCUAAAAUUUCUUCCCUCUAAUUAAUUUAUCCAUUUUCUCACGUACUUCAAAAAAAAAAUUUGUUUUUUGGUACAACAAUUGAACGAAAGAGAUUUAAUCUUCAAUUUUACAAUAAAAUUGUAAUUACAAUAUAGGCAAAAAGUAAAAUUAGUGACAACGUCAUCAUUUAAUUUAUUUUCUUUACUUUUCGCAUCUAUUGAAGAACUGCAUCUUACAAUCUUACACUUCAAACACAAAAUUUACUAACUUUAGCAUAUCGAAUCUAAUAUUAAUUAUUUUAGCUUAGUGGACCGAAGGACCUUAAUAACAAUAUUAGGUGAUAUAUUAUUUUGAAUAAAACUUGUACUUUUGAUCCAUGAAGUUUGUAUUUUGAAGUAUUUUAUGUUACCAAUUUUAUGUUUCGUGGGUAACCAAAUCUAUGUGGCAACACUUUUGUUAAUAUAUAUAUAAUUAAAGUACACUUCUUUUAUAUUCUUCUGAUUACUUUUAUCGUCAAUGUUACCGUUAUCGUGUGUCAACUUUUUUUUUUCACUCUCUUUUUCUUUCAUCUUCCCUUUGUCAACUUUUAAAAAACAUAGCAAAUAUGAUAACUCAAGGGUAAGAAUGCAAUCAAACUGAAAUCGUAGGGAACCAGAAGUGUAAUAUUUUAUUGUUUUGUUUUAGGUCUCCAUACUAUUCUUUGAAGAAAAAAAAAAAAAAAGUAAUUACAAUGGAUAGCAGAAUUAGAACGUAAUCUACUAUGAUAGACUUUUAAUAACUAUAUAAUCUUUCACUUGUUACCAAAGCUAAAUCUAGUUUUGCACCUUAAUGUAAAAUCAAGUAUAAAUCAUUAGUGCUUUUUGAUCACCAAUAUGUAAAAAAUUUAUAUCUUUUUAUUAUUUUUCACAAUUUUUUUUUAAUUUUAGUAUUUAUACUUGUUGAACUUUUAAAUUUAAUAGUUUUUAUAUUUAAAAAUAACUAAAUCUAAUUUAUAUAUGUUCUUCACUAAAAACUCGUUCUAUUAAUCUUCCUUCGACAAAUUUGAUUUCUUAUUCAAAUAUCUAAAUCUCAUAAUAUCAUAUUGUGAAAUUAAAUCAAAUCCAAACACAAAGACUGUUUUUAUAUUUAAAGAAAAAUACAUGGAAUAUAUAUAAACUAAACUUGAAAACAUUUCAACAUAUAAAAUUACACAAUUUAUAAUUAGAAGUAAUUAAAUAAAUAAGGAAGAAAAAAGAAUUGGAGAAAGGAAUGAUGAAUUAGACCAAUGUCCGAUCCGACGACUUACUGCCGAUUUUAUAUACUUUGCAUCAACAACACAUAAACACAAACAUCCAUUUUUCUUUUUCUUUUCUUUCUCAAAAUUAUUAUCAUCAUUAUUAUAUUUAAUAAGAAAAGAGUUUAAAAGAAGAAAAAAAAAAUGAAAGGCGUUGAUUGGAUUUAUCUCUGGCAGUCCAUCAUACGCACAAAGUCGUCGAAGCAGACGAACCCAUCCCCAUUUUUGUCUACACCUGCUAUCAUACGCUGACAAUCCUCUAACGUGCACCCAUCGUCUCCCAUAGCUGCGAACACACUAAAAAGCUCCUCCGCCGUAAUUCUCCCGUCGUGGUCCGCGUCGAAUAUCUCAAACGUAUCACGUAACUCGGAGUGGCAAGUCGGUCCAACCCGGUCCAUUUCGCCCAUCAUGAUCUUAAUCUCUUCCUCACUCGGCGGUUCGGCUCCGAUUAGGCCGAGUAGAGCCUUUAGUUCUUUACGAGAGAGAGUGGGGUCGGAGAAAUCGGACCAGUCGAGGGAGGGUAGAACGCUGGUGGGGGUUCCUGCCGCGGAGGAGGAGGAGGAGGAGGAGGCGGAGCCGAAAGAAGGAGGUUGAGAUCGGGAGAGUUUGGAGCGGUGGGAUUUGGAAGAGAAGAGACGGUUGGGGUUUAAGGAUUUGAGAAGCUUCAUGUUUGAGGGAAAUGAAGUAUGAAUUUUGAUUUGGGGUUUUGGAAAUGGAAGUUUGUUUUGAAGACAAGUU